UCCCUGUUGCCAGGGCAGUCUGAUUAGAAAAAUUCAACUAAUCACAAGGGUUGCGCUCGUUGAUGGACUUAACCAAACAUCUCACGACACGAGCUGACGACGGCCAUGCAACACCUGUCACCGAGUUCAAAAAUGCACUCCCUCCUUUCGGAAGGAUUCUCGGGAUGUCAAACCUGGGUAAGGUUCUUCGCUUACCAUCGAAUUAAACAACACGCUCCACCGCUUGUGCGGGUCCCCGUCAAUUCCUUUAUGUUUUAGUCUUGCGACCGUACUCCACAGGCGGGAUGCUUAACGCGUUAGCUUCGCUACUAGAGGGGUCGAUACCUCUAACAGCUAGCAUCCAUAGUUUACGGCGUGGACUAC
rnacentral:misc_RNA from 1 species